rnacentral:lncRNA from 1 species
AUCCCAGGCGUUCAGGGCACCUUUUCUUUCACAAAGGCACCGCCCCAGAUUGCAGCUUCCAGAAGUGAAUAUUUCCCAGUUUUAUUGUCCCAAAUCUUUCCUCCUGCCCCAGAGAGGUUCCCCAGAAGCUCAUGGUCGUUAUCUCAACGAGACCCUGAGCUCCAAUCCUCAGCAUUUAGCAGGGAGGGAAUGACAGCUCUGGAGGGUGCUUUGCUCCAGGAAAUUAUCUUUUCUCCCUAAUUAUUUCCGUUUUGUUUGGCUCAGUGAUGCCAGGAUGCUCUUUGUACCUCAUCCAGAGGCCAUCCAGGGAAAUGACUCUUUUCAGCUCCACAAAAAUGAUGCCCUGGAUGCCAACGGAUCCAGCUCCACUUUAUUUUUAAAGAUAUGAUUAUUUCCACACUCCCAAUGCCAUUGGAGAGCCCGUGAGGAUCAGGGACCUUCAUGGAGGUUAUGGAUGGGACUGCUGCCCUGCUUUGCAGCAAAACGCUCCUUUUUGGCUGCAAAAUGGGCCAACUAAGCAAAGUUUUCCCUGUGGAGCAUAACUGGGAGUUAGUUACCUUGGGAACGAGAUUUAUCUCUUCCUUUGUUCGUGCUUAAUCCAGGGAGGGCACUUUUAAUAACCAAUUGAUGAGAAUUGCUGGGGAUAAAUUAUGCAUCCCGGGCCCGGCAGUGAGUUAUGGACUUCUCCCUCCUGCUCCAGCACGAGGACCUGGCUCCGACUGCUCCCGUGCCCUUUGGAAACAGAAAAUCCAUUGAAGAUGGAAUUCUUCCUGGCAGAAAGAGCCCUUUGGACUUUUUCAGCCCAAAUCCCUCAGCCUCAUUUGAAAGUAGCUGGACAUCCAUCCUCUGGACAUCGCUGGGAGAUGAAAACUUAAAUCGGAGUCGCUCUUGAAUUUUUCAUCUGAGCCUGAUUCUCUCUUUAAUAUCCUAUUUUUAUAAAAUAAUCAUCGUCCAGCUCGCAGGGCUGGUAAAAACAAGCCUGAUGUAGAUGUGAAAUGCAGUCCUGUCUAUUCCCAUCUUAAUUUGCAGCUUGUUCCAGGUAUCCUUGGGCCACGAAGCCAGGGAAGUUAUCCUGGGUGUCCAUCUCCACCCAGUGACCCAGAGGGGAGCUCAGUCCUUGUCAGCUGUGUCAGAUUUGCAUGAGAUGGGACAAAAUUGCCCUGGAAUUGAGGAUUUCCAUGAGUUUAUUUGGGGGUUUUCAUGCAUUUAUUUGGGAGUUCCCAUGAGUUUUUAGCUCUUUCCAGAGUUAUUCUCUGCUUCCAAGGUGCCUUUUGCCAGCCUGUUUUUCCAGGACUUGCUUCCUUUCCAUGGUAGACACAACUGGAAUCCCAACCAGCCAUGAUUUUUGAGAUGCAACAGGUAGAGGAAUGCACCAGCUUGACAAUUUUUCAGGGAGAUGCUUCCUUCCAGCAUCCCUUGGAUAAAUCUAGGGCAGGACUGGGAUGGCCCCAGCCUUUCCCUGCUUUCCUGGGAUGCUCAGCACCAGUGGGAACCUUCACCUCUGGAAACUCAGCUGGA